AGAGUUUGAUCAUGGCUCAGAACGAACGCUGGCGGCGUGCCUAACACAUGCAAGUCGUGGGAGAAAGUCUCCUUCGGGAGACGAGUAAACCGGCGCACGGGUGAGUAACACGUGGGUAACCUGCCCCAGAGCCUGGGAUAACACACCGAAAGGUGUGCUAAUACCAGAUAGUUCCCUGCUUCACAAGAGGCAGGGGGAAAGAGGGCCUCUGCUUGCAAGCUCUCACUCUGGGAUGGGCCUGCGGCCUAUCAGGUAGUUGGUAGGGUAACGGCCUACCAAGCCUACGACGGGUAGCUGGUCUGAGAGGAUGGUCAGCCACACUGGCACUGAGACACGGGCCAGACUCCUACGGGAGGCAGCAGUGGGGAAUAUUGGGCAAUGGGCGAAAGCCUGACCCAGCGACGCCGCGUGGAGGAUGAAGGCCUUCGGGUCGUAAACUCCUGUCAGAGGGGAAGAAAGCAGCAGGGUUAAUACCCCUGUCUGCCUGACGGUACCCUCAGAGGAAGCACCGGCUAACUACGUGCCAGCAGCCGCGGUAAUACGUAGGGUGCGAGCGUUGUUCGGAAUCACUGGGCGUAAAGCGUGCGUAGGCGGCCUCGUAAGUCCAACGUGAAAGCCUUGAGCUCAACUCAAGAACUGCGUUGGAUACUGCGAGGCUUAGAGUGCGGGAGAGGCAGGCGGAAUUCCCGGUGUAGGGGUGAAAUCCGUAGAUAUCGGGAAGAACACCGGUGGCGAAGGCGGCCUGCUGGAACGCAACUGACGCUGAGGCACGAAAGCGUGGGGAGCAAACAGGAUUAGAUACCCUGGUAGUCCACGCCCUAAACGAUGGACGCUGGGUGUCGGGAGGUAUCCUUCCCGGUGCCGUAAGCUAACGCGUUAAGCGUCCCGCCUGGGGAGUACGGCCGCAAGGCUAAAACUCAAAGGAAUAGACGGGGACCCGCACAAGUGGUGGAGCAUGUGGUUUAAUUCGAAGAUACGCGAAGAACCUUACCCGGCCUUGACAUCCCGAGAACCUCCCAGAGAUGGGAGGGUGCUACUUCGGUAGAGCUCGGUGACAGGUGCUGCACGGCUGUCGUCAGCUCGUGUCGUGAGAUGUUGGGUUAAGUCCCGCAACGAGCGCAGCCCUCGUGUCCAGUUGCUAACGGUCCGGCCGAGCACUCUGGACAGACUGCCUGGGCAACCAGGAGGAAGGUGAGGACGACGUCAAGUCAUCAUGGCCCUUACGGCCGGGGCGACACACGUGCUACAAUGGGCAGGACAAUGAGACGCGAUACCGCGAGGUGGAGCAAAUCUAUAAACCUGCUCUCAGUUCGGAUUGCAGUCUGCAACUCGACUGCAUGAAGCUGGAAUCACUAGUAAUCGUAGAUCAGCCAUGCUACGGUGAAUACGUUCCCGGGUCUUGUACUCACCGCCCGUCACACCAUGGGAGUUGAGUUCACCCGAAGCGGGGAAGCUAAACCGGCUACCCUCCACGGUGGGCUCAGCGACUGGGGUGAAGUCGUAACAAGGUAAC
rnacentral:rRNA from 1 species